rnacentral:pre_miRNA from 1 species
UUAGCUCAGAUUUGUAUGAAAUGGGAUCGUUUGCGUACGUUUGCCGCUGGCGGCGUUGUUCCAACUGCAUACAAAAUUGGCUUA